UACGUAGGUGGCGAGCGUUGUCCGGAUUUACUGGGCGUAAAGGGAGCGUAGGCGGAUUUUUAAGUGAGAUGUGAAAUACUCGGGCUCAACUUGAGUGCUGCAUUUCAAACUGGAAGUCUAGAGUGCAGGAGAGGAGAAUGGAAUUCCUAGUGUAGCGGUGAAAUGCGUAGAGAUUAGGAAGAACACCAGUGGCGAAGGCGAUUCUCUGGACUGUAACUGACACUGAGGCUCGAAAGCGUGGGGAGCAAACAGG
rnacentral:rRNA from 1 species